GACGAACGCUGGCGGCGUGCCUAAUACAUGCAAGUAGAACGCACAGUUUAUACCGUAGCUUGCUACACCAUAAACUGUGAGUUGCGAACGGGUGAGUAACGCGUAGGUAACCUGCCUGGUAGCGGGGGAUAACUAUUGGAAACGAUAGCUAAUACCGCAUAAUAUUGAUUAUUGCAUGAUAAUUGAUUGAAAGAUGCUAUUGCAUCACUACCAGAUGGACCUGCGUUGUAUUAGCUAGUAGGUGAGGUAACGGCUCACCUAGGCGACGAUACAUAGCCGACCUGGGAGGGUGAUCCGCCACACUGGGACUGAGACACGGCCCAGACUUCUACGGGAGGCAGCAGGAGGGAAUCUUCGGCAAUGGACGAAAGGCUGACCGAGCAACGCCGCGUGAGGGAAGAAGGGUUUCGGAUCGUAAAGCUCUGUUGUAAGAGAAGAACGGGUGUGAGAGUGGAAAGUUCACACUGUGACGGUAUCUUACCAGAAAGGGACGGCUAACUACGUG
rnacentral:rRNA from 1 species